rnacentral:rRNA from 1 species
GACGAACGCUGGCGGCGUGCUCAACAACAUGCAAGUCGAGCGGUAAGGGCUCCUUCGGGAGUACACGAGCGGCGAACGGGUGAGUAACACGUGAGCAAUCUGCCCUUCACUUUGGGAUAACUCCGGGAAACCGGUGCUAAUACCGAAUACGACCACCGUAGGCAUCUUCUGGUGGUGGAAAGUUCCGGCGGUGAAGGAUGAGCUCGCGGCCUAUCAGCUUGUUGGU